CAUGUAUUUAUUAUAGAUUGAUAUAGACUUUGGGCAAGGAAUAUCAAUUCUAGUCUUAUCUUUCCUUACGAAUCUAUUGACUGUCGCCAUUGGUUCUUUACCGACAUAAGAUGAACAUAAACUAACUACCUUGUUGUCGAUCCAAGUAAUAACCGAUAAUUGAACGUCAUCUACGACUGAAGAUUCUCCACACAAUAGCCACAUUCACGUUUCAUCAAGGCUUUUUUCUGCAAAUCAAAACCUGGUACUCUGUUCAGCUGUAUAGUCCCUAACGGAAGGAAACCUUUUGAUGUAAAGUAGCCAUUAGUGGCAAACUUGUGUACCAGUUAUCCACAAAUAUUUUGUAAUUCAAAUUAUUUGGAACGGUCUGCAACAACCUUUGAACAAUAUUUCCCGGGACUCCUAGAUCUGAACAAUUUUCUGGUGGCCCACAAUGCUUUCCAAAGUCAUAACUGAAUCCAGUAGAUCCACUCAACACGUAGUUCAAAUAACCCCACUUAUGUGGUUUUUUGGCAUUGUACUGUCUUAUUUUUGAUGUACGAGCUUUGGUAGGGAUCAUUUGCUCAUCGAUUGCUAAAUAUUCUUCCUUUGGAACUUUUAAAAGCCUAUCGCGUAAUAUAUUUAAUAAUGGGCGUAUUUUCUGAAGUUUGUCAUAAUUGGGAUCGUUUUAGGCUUUCGCUCUUUAUUUUUGUCAAAAAUAUGUAAAACUCUUUUUACCUGUUCGAAUUUAUUGCAUGUCAUUACGGAUGCCACCUUUUCAAUAAAUGUCCCAUCUUUUCAAUAAUGACGCGUGGUAGGAAUAUGUAGUACUGACAUAUAAAUUAAAAUUCCAAUAAAUUUCCGGAUGUCUUCAUGGGUCACUUCAGUCGAAUUUUCUGGUGCAAUUUGAGUUGCAUAUAAUAUUACUCUGAGUUUCUAUUAAGUCAAUCACUGAUGAUGGAAACAGAAACUUGAAAAAUUCCAUGGGUGUUUCUAGCCGCUUAAUUUCGUCGGGAAGGGAUUUAUACAAGAAAAACGUUACUUGAUUCAUUAUACUCAAUGCCUUCAUCUGUCCACACUGCCUUAACCUUCUUAGUUUUUUUCACCGUCGAAGAUGAAGAAGGCUGAUUUAUCAUAACUUGUUCCUCAUCACCAGAAUCAGAAUCGCUACUGCUUACUUCACUUUCUGGUAAAUAAACACUUUCUAAAGGCUUAGGAAUUGACAACAUUUCAAAACUGAUACGACAUGGAAACAAAAAUACCAUUUCUUUAUUUUCGUAUCCUGAGUUCAAAUAUAUUUAUUUCAUAUUUUUUUUAUUUGUCAUUUCUGAGAAAAAUAAUUAAAAUCACAAAACGUGUGAUGACGUCAUACAUACGGCAGAAUGCAGUCGUUACCUUUGCCUUAGCAUUUAUGGUUUCAGAUGAAAACAUCAAGUGUCAAAUGUCAAUGUUAAUGUCACUUGAAGUUGUAACUUGAAAAUAUUUACAUUCGAAAUCGAAAUUGAUUUUACACAAUAUUUUUCUAUCGAAUCGACACACUGCUUAUUUUUAUUAUUAACAACUGUUCAAAACAAUGGAUUUCAAUGAAACAUAUACGCCAAUGAAGGAUCCAAAAUAUUGUUUUGUACCAGCCUGCAAAAACAAUUCUAGAGAUACCCAAAAAACUUUUUUUGCGGAACUCAACAAAACAAGAGUGGUGCAAUGCUGUGGGUAGAUCAUGUCCUAAACGUGUUAUAUAUAUAUGCGAAGAUCAUCUCAAUUUGGAGGAAGAUUUGGAGAACUAUUGGUAUUGGACAACAAUGAAAAUGCGACCGAAGUUGAAGACUCGGCUACCACAAUCUCUUGUGAAGAUACCAAUUUCAACUGUUCUUCAAGAAAUUAUUGAACCUCAACCCAGCACAUCUUCAACAGCUUCCUCAUCACUUCAUUCAGUUUGUAAAAAUCCAUUCACUACAAAAGCCAGCAAAGGAGUACAAGUGAAGCCAAAAACAUCAGAUAGAAUUACUUAUUGCACCAUUUCCAAAAAGAAGAUAAAGAAACCUUUAUCUGAAGUUGAUGAGAUGGAAGAAAUGGUGUUGCCUUCAACACAAGGAAGUUCUACUUCUAUUGAAAUGUCAGAAAUCUCAUCAGAAAUCUACACUAAAACUGUAAUUCAGACCCGGAGAACCUUUAUGCUUGACCUUAUUAAAAAAAACCACAAAAUUAUAUAGGCUUACCAAAGAAUUAUUAUUGGUUAAUUAGUUAUUUAGAAAGUAAUCUCAAUGUAAAAUCUAUAGAUAUAAUAGUAACUUUGUAUAAGAUUAAGAAUAAUACCCCUUUCUACCAAAUCUCGGAUUUUUUUGAGAUAUCAUUAACCACAUUAUGGAGAAUA